GGGGGUGAAACUGGCUUCGACGGGGAUUUGGAGCCUUUAGUAGCGAGCAGUUGUGAGAAGCAACUUUAAAAGUCUCAAAAAAAAUAAACGAUAACGAAAAUUACGCGUUAGCAGCCUAAGCGGCUGUCAUCUUAUAUUGAAUCCCCACGCUCUUUAUAAGGUGUCAAAUUAGUGGGACACGAAAUCUCGUAAGUUCGUCAUAGCGAGACGGGUACUCAUGACGAUAUAGUUUGAAAAUCGUGUAAGUUCGAGUUUUAAGCUGAAUUAAAAAAACUCUACUGCGCUCGGAGAAGCUAAUUGUGAAGAGUUUUCGGACGCGGGUUCAACUCCCGCCACCUCCACCA
rnacentral:tmRNA from 1 species